rnacentral:rRNA from 1 species
UACGUAGGGGGCAAGCGUUGUCCGGAGUUACUGGGCGUAAAGGGUGUGUAGGCGGUUGGGUAAGUGUGGUGUGAAAUCUCCCGGCUUAACUGGGAGGGUGCGCUACAAACUGUCUGACUAGAGUGUGGGAUGGGAGAGUGGAAUUCCUGGUGUAGCGGUGAAAUGCGUAGAUAUCAGGAGGAACACCGGUGGUGUAGACGGCUCUCUGGACCAUAACUGACGCUGAGACACGAAAGCGUGGGUAGCAAACAGG